rnacentral:lncRNA from 1 species
CAGGGAAAACUGCACAUUUAGUUGUAAAAGAAUAAAAUUGAACCUUUAUUUUACACCACACACAAAAGUCAACUCAAAAUUCACUAUAAAAUUAAAUGUAAAAUCUGAAACUAUACAACAACUACAAGAAAACAUAAGAGAAGAGCACUAUAACUAUUAACCUAUGAAUUGGAAAAAAAAUUUCCAUAUCAUAUAGCUGAUAAGGGGUUAAUUUCUAAAAUAUAUAAGAAACUCCUACAACCAAUUGCAAAAUAAGUAACUCAAUUUAAAAAUGGGCAAACAG